GCCUAGUUAGCUUAGUUGGUAGUGCGUCUGCCUUGUAAGCGCUAGGCCGCGGGUUCGAUUCCCGC
rfam:Asian citrus Psyllid, Diaphorina citri - Florida Strain, whole genome shotgun sequence.